UAUGAUCAAUAUCAGGAUUUCUGAUGAAUUUAUGCAUCCAUUGAACUUUCUUCUUCUUUUCUAAGAACCUUAAUGAUGACUUAUUGGUUCUUCUUCAGGUAAAACAAAACAGAAAGGGAGAAGAAAAAUGGUUUCAAGAACCAGAACCAGAUCAUGACCCUGAAACAACAAAAGCUCAGAGAUAAUUAAGAAUUGAAGAAAUGUUUCCUGGAAGCAACAAACAUUGAUGGAAAUCAGACUAACACAUCUGCUACUGAAGGUUGGAUCACUUUCCUAGAAUUUAGAAAUGAUUCCCCACAUCCUCAACUGUUUUCCUCAGAUAUGAUCUUUCUGUCGUAUUUUCAGGGGCCAUAAUACUUCAUUUAUUAACAGCGUUAACGCACAGAAACACUGGUGUCAGAAAUACGCCGAGCAGCAGCUCAUUCACUCAGUGAAGCCGGAGAGUCUGCAGGCCAUGGUGAGUCACCACCAUCAAACAAACACGAGGGACACACGUCGCCAGGCUACUGAUGUCACUGUUGUCACGGAGACGCCCAGGCCUAGCUGCGAUUGGCCCAGACAGAGGCCUUGUUUACGCUGUUCUGGCUCUUUUGUCUCUCCCUGCUGCCAUCUUUGUGCCACAGAGUCGAACUCCCACACAAACAGCACUGACCAGCCUGACCGCCAUGGAGGAGAGCUGCCUGUUGGUUGGAUGUUUGUUCUGCUCAUCCAGCAGAACAAGCUGAAUGUUUAUACUGGGAACAAUGGUAGGGCAGUUUGUCAUUAAUACAGGUUCCUGUUCUUAUUAGCUCCCUUGUAAAGAUGCACAAAAAGCCUAAAAAAUAAAUUCAUCUUUUACUGGACCAUCAUAAACCCACA